rnacentral:rRNA from 1 species
AUUGAACGCUGGCGGAAUGCUUUACACAUGCAAGUCGAACGGCAGCACGGGGCAACCUGGUGGCGAGUGGCGAACGGGUGAGUAAUACAUCGGAACGUGCCCAAUCGUGGGGGAUAACGUAGCGAAAGUUACGCUAAUACCGCAUACGAUCUACGGAUGAAAGCGGGGGAUCGCAAGACCUCGCACGAGUGGAGCGGCCGAUGUCAGAUUAGGUAGUUGGUGGGGUAAAGGCUCACCAAGCCAACGAUCUGUAGCUGGUCUGAGAGGACGACCAGCCACACUGGAACUGAGACACGGUCCAGACUCCUACGGGAGGCAGCAGUGGGGAAUUUUGGACAAUGGGCGCAAGCCUGAUCCAGCCAUUCCGCGUGCAGGAUGAAGGCCUUCGGGUUGUAAACUGCUUUGUUACGGAACGAACGGACGAGCUCUAAUACAGUUUGCUAAUGACGGUACCGUAAGAAUAAGACACCGGCGUAACUACGUGCCAGCAGCCGCGGUAA